rnacentral:rRNA from 1 species
UACGAAGGGGGCUAGCGUUGCUCGGAAUCACUGGGCGUAAAGCGCACGUAGGCGGCUUCUUAAGUCAGGGGCGAAAUCCUGGAGCUCAACUCCAGAACUGCCCUUGAUACUGAGGAGCUCGAGUCCGGAAGAGGUGAGUGGAACUGCGAGUGUAGAGGUGAAAUUCGUAGAUAUUCGCAAGAACACCAGUGGCGAAGGCGGCUCACUGGUCCGGUACUGACGCUGAGGUGCGAAAGCGUGGGGAGCAAACAGG